ACCCAGAAGUUCAAGUUAGUAAAUCGUGAGACUCUGAAUCUCUGGUCUGUGGGUUCAAGCCCCGCUUUGGGCA